rnacentral:rRNA from 1 species
GGGGAAUAUUGGACAAUGGGGGCAACCCUGAUCCAGCAAUGCCGCGUGUGUGAAGAAGGUCUUCGGAUUGUAAAGCACUUUCGACGGGGACGAUGAUGACGGUACCCGUAGAAGAAGCCCCGGCUAACUUCGUGCCAGCAGCCGCGGUAAUACGAAGGGGGCUAGCGUUGCUCGGAAUGACUGGGCGUAAAGGGCGUGUAGGCGGUUUACACAGUCAGAUGUGAAAUCCCCGGGCUUAACCUGGGAGCUGCAUUUGAUACGUGUAGACUAGAGUGUGAGAGAGGGUUUGUGGAAUUCCCAGUGUAGAGGUGAA